rnacentral:rRNA from 1 species
CCUACGGGAGGCUGCAGUGGGGAAUAUUGGACAAUGGGGGGAACCCUGAUCCAGCCAUGCCGCGUGUGUGAAGAAGGCCCUCGGGUUGUAAAGCACUUUCAGUGAGGAAGAACGCCUGGUGGUUAAUACCCAUCAGGAAAGACAUCACUCACAGAAGAAGCACCGGCUAACUCCGUGCCAGCAGCCGCGGUAAUACGGAGGGUGCGAGCGUUAAUCGGAAUUACUGGGCGUAAAGCGCGCGUAGGUGGCUUGAUAAGCCGGUUGUGAAAGCCCCGGGCUCAACCUGGGAACGGCAUCCGGAACUGUCAAGCUAGAGUGCAGGAGAGGAAGGUAGAAUUCCCGGUGUGGCGGUGAAAUGCGUAGAGAUCGGGAGGAAUACCAGUGGCGAAGGCGGCCUUCUGGACUGACACUGACACUGAGGUGCGAAAGCGUGGGUAGCAAACAGGAUUAGAUACCCUUGUAGUC